rnacentral:rRNA from 1 species
GACGAACGCUGGCGGCGUGCUUAACACAUGCAAGUCGAACGAAGUCGCGAACGGGUGAGUAACGCGUAAUCAACCUGCCCUUCAGAGGGGGACAACAGUUGGAACCGACUGCUAAUACCGCCUACUGACGGAGGGGAUUGCGUCGGAUUAGCUAGUUGGAGGGGUAACGGCCCACCAAGGCGAUGAUCAGUAGCCGGUCUGAGAGGGUGAACGGCCAAAUUGGGACUGAGGCCCGGCCCAGGCUCCGUCGGGAAGCAGCAGUGGGGAAUCUUCCGCAAUGGACGAAAGUCUGACGGAGCAACGCCGCGGGAGUGAUGACGGCCUUCGGGUUGGAAAGCUCUGUUAAUCGGGGCGCGGUACCGGAAUAGAAAGCCACGGCUAACUACGUGCCAGCAGCCGCGGUAAUUC